UGGCGGUGCGCCUUAUGCAUGCAAGUCGAGCGAAGCUUUUCAGUAGUUUACUACAGAAAAUGACUGAGCGGCGAACGGGUGAGUAACGCGUGAGCAAUCUACCUUAGUUACAGGGAUAGCCCGAGGAAACUCGGAUUAAUACCUGAUAUUCUUUAAAUUUCGCAUGAAAUUAAAAGGAAAGGUCAGCCGAACUAAGAUGAGCUCGCGUUCUAUCAGCUAGUUGGUGAGGUAAAAGCUCACCAAGGCUACGACGGAUAGCUGGUCUGAGAGGACGAUCAGCCACACUGGGACUGAGACACGGCCCAGACUCCUACGGGAGGCUGCAGCAGGGAAUAUUGCGCAAUGAGCGAAAGCUUGACGCAGCGACACCGCGUGUGGGAUGACGGAUCUAGGUUUGUAAACCACUUUCAGGAGGGAAGAAAAUGACGGUACCUCCACAAGAAGCCCCGGCCAACUACGUGCCAGCAGCCGCGGUAAUACGUAGGGGGCGAGCGUNGUCCGGAUUUAUUGGGCGUAAAGAGCUCGUAGGCGGUUCAACAAGUCGGUCGUGAAAGUUCAGGGCUCAACCCUGAAAUGUCUAUCGAUACUGUUGUGACUAGGAUACGGUAGAGGUGAGUGGAAUUCCGAGUGU
rnacentral:rRNA from 1 species